UACGAAGGGGGCUAGCGUUGCUCGGAAUCACUGGGCGUAAAGGGUGCGUAGGCGGGCAGGUAAGUCCGUGGUGAAAUCUCUGAGCUUAACUCAGAAACUGCCAUGGAUACUAUUUGUCUUGAAUGUUGUGGAGGUAAGCGGAAUAUGUCAUGUAGCGGUGAAAUGCUUAGAUAUGACAUAGAACACCAAUUGCGAAGGCAGCUUACUACACAGAUAUUGACGCUGAGGCACGAAAGCGUGGGGAUCAAACAGG
rnacentral:rRNA from 1 species